UGGGGAAUUUUGGACAAUGGGGGAAACCCUGAUCCAGCCAUCCCGCGUGUGCGAUGAAGGCCUUCGGGUUGUAAAGCACUUUUGGCAGGAAAGAAACGUCAUGGGUUAAUACCCCGUGAAACUGACGGUACCUGCAGAAUAAGCACCGGCUAACUACGUGCCAGCAGCCGCGGUAAUACGUAGGGUGCAAGCGUUAAUCGGAAUUACUGGGCGUAAAGCGUGCGCAGGCGGUUCGGAAAGAAAGAUGUGAAAUCCCAGAGCUCAACUUUGGAACUGCAUUUUUAACUACCGGGCUAGAGGGUGUCAGAGGGAGGUGGAAUUCCGAGUGUAGCAGUGAAAUGCGUAGAUAUGCGGAGGAACACCGAUGGCGAAGGCAGCCUCCUGGGAUAACACGGACGCUCAUGCACGAAAGCGGGGGGAGCAAACAGG
rnacentral:rRNA from 1 species